AUUUUACUUAUAUGCUUAUGGUUAAAUGAUUUUGUUAUUCUUGGAAGUGUUUAAGUAUGCAUUCUUUGGGUGACAAGUGGAAAACACUGAAGUGGUAAACAUGUUCCUAAUAUGGUAAAAGGACAGAGGCUUCAGCCUUGGAGGUCAGAGAUAUAAAAGUGAGGGGAAGCUUUCGUUCUUUGUCUUACACUCUGCAGCUACUUGUGUUUCUGUAUGACUGUCUGACCUUUCUUGCAAGAAAUAAAACUUUCGAAAGACAAUUGGAUGUGUUUAUCUCUUAUGCAGUAAGAGUCAGUGUUGAUUUUUUGCCACAACGGAGGGAACGCAAAUAUCUUUAUGAGGGAACGCAAAUAUUUGAGAGGGAACGCAAAAGAUUUGAAAGAGACAAACUUGACUGAGACUGGGAGAAAUAACCUCAAUUUUUGUGUUAUUGUGUGCGUCUAUGACUGAUUGUGAGUACCCGUUCUAAUCAUUAGAUAAUCUUUAUUAAUCGUAGUAUUUGAUUACCGGUCAAGUUUGCAUUUCUCCAUUAUUAUUGAGUUAAUCUGAAUGAACAGUGUUAAAGCAAACUAGCGCGUUCGGCGCGUUCACGCGCUGUGUGUUCACGAUUACAUCAUUGCAGAUUGUGAUAACUUCACCCUGUUCCGUAUAUGUUUAUUCAUGUUACAAUGCUACUAUGUUAUUCAUGUCAAGUUUAUAUGGGAGUACUGUAUAGUGCGCUGUGUGAUCUUUAUUGCCGUAUACGGACACUUUCGGUUUCAACGUGCCGAUUAUGUUUACAUAAAUGAUGACAGCGCCAUACUACAUAGUAUUUUUCCACUGAAAUGGAAUUUGAUGUGUAAUGUGAUUUAAUUUAUAUAACAGUCAAGACAUUUUAUGCUGAUUAUUUCUUUAUUUAUGCUUCAUUGUAGUACCACACAUCUACCCACAAAUUCUCGACCUCCCACUCAUGUACAUCUUCAGUGUUCAAUAAACCCCUUUGAUUUAAUCUGAUUGCCUUGAUCCAUUCCUGUGUUCUGAUCGACACACCAAGAGGAAGGCUAGAGACAUUAGAAUCACCUUAGAAUACAAUCCUUUUUCAACUCCUCAACACCCUCUGAUGUUCUUUUUAUCUAAAUAAACAACAUAUUAUAUGGCUCUUAAAGGGUUAGUUCACCCAAAAAUGAAAUUUCUGUCAUUAAUUACUCACCCUCAUGUUGUUCCACACCCGUAAGACCUUCGUUCAUCUUCAGAACACAAAUUAAGAUAUUUUUGAUGAAAUUCGAGAGCUUUCUGACCCCAGAUUGCAACGUAAUUGUAACUUUCAAGGCCCAGAAAGAUAGUAAAGACAUCGUUAAAAUAGCCCAUGUGACUACCAGUGGUUCAACCUUAAUGUUAUGAAGUGACGAGAAUACUUUUUCUGUGCAAAAAACAAAAAACAAAAACAAAAAUAACAACUUUAUUCAACAAUUUCCUCUCUCCACGUCACUCUCUGAUGCUGUUCAUGUGAGCACCACGACACAUGCGUGUGAUGCUGACGCAG